rnacentral:rRNA from 2 species
AACGUAGGAGGCGAGCGUUAUUCGGAUUUACUGGGCGUAAAGCGCGUGCAGGCGGUUCUGUAAGUUGGAGGUUAAAUCCCCUGGCUUAACUGGGGGGCGUCCUUCAAAACUGCAGGGCUUGAGGAUGGGAGAGGGAAGUGGAAUUCCCGGUGUAGUGGUGGAAUGCGUAGAUAUCGGGAGGAACACCAGUGGCGAAGGCGGCUUCCUGGCCCACACCUGACGCUCAGACGCGAAAGCGUGGGGAGCGAACGGG